GGUGUCCAGCCCCUCCCCUCACGUAAGCUGUGAACUCUGCGUCAGAUCUUCACUGCAUGGACGAGAGCAGGCUGGAGUCAUGGAUCAGGGAGAGAUGGAAGAAGAUUUGACAACCAUUCAUGGUCACCGUGACAGCCCUUUAAAUUCUUCAGGAAAUGGACCAGAGCUCUUCUGACUCUACAGUGAUCCUUGAACUAAGUUCCGUCCCUGAAAAGGAGGACAUAAGUGUUCCUGAACUCAAGAGAGCAGAAAGUGUAUUUGUUCAUCAACAAUGGCGAGAAAGAAGUGGAGCACCGAGGAGGUCCAGGCUGUGGAGAGCAAUCUCAUGGACAACAUCAACUCUGGCAGGGUUCCUGGUAAAGCCCAGUGUGAAGCAUC